UGCCAGCAGCCGCGGUAAUACGUAGGGUGCGAGCGUUAAUCGGAAUUACUGGGCGUAAGGCGUGCGCAGGCGGUGAUGUAAGACCGAUGUGAAAUCCCCGGGCUCAACCUGGGAACUGCAUUGGUGACUGCAUUGCUCGAGUAUGGCAGAGGGGGGUGGAAUUCCACGUGUAGCAGUGAAAUGCGUAGAGAUGUGGAGGAACACCGAUGGCGAAGGCAGCCCCCUGGGCCAAUACUGACGCUCAUGCACGAAAGCGUGGGGAGCAAACAGGAUUAGAUACCCUGGUAGUCC
rnacentral:rRNA from 1 species